UUCAUCAAGAGUAGCUGAGGGACUGGCCCGAUGAAGCUACGGCAACCACACAGCAAGUGAACGGUGCCAAUUCCAACGGAUAAUUCCGGCAGAUGAA
rnacentral:ncRNA from 1 species